CGGAGGAAGGGAGGAGAGCAUCCGGGCACUUAGCAAGGAGACACAAAGCUGCGUUCAGCUAGGUGCCCGGGCGAGUCGUGGGGAGACUGAGAAGGGGCUUGAGGACGGUUCCGGACUCUGGGUGGCUGACGCUAUGUCGGAUGGGCUUCUCCUCUCCUUACACUGGGGCCGUUUAGGGAGGUGCUGGGCUCGGGGUGGGGCUUAGAUGAAAUCUCUUCUUGCUACGCCUCUCCCUGCUCAAGUUCCCACCCUUUUCCUAGAGCAGAAGUUUCAGAUGUAAGGUGACUCGGUUUUUAGGGUCGGGCUUUUGAACCCUUAAGGAGACAGCGGGGCUUUACACGAAGCUGGGGACAGGAAACGGCUCUAGUCUAGCUUCUCUGAUCUCCGAGGGCCUCGGAGAACUUUUAAGCGGCUGCUCGAGCUGCUCUUCUUGGGCCCUUUUUUGGAGCAGAAGUGAGUCCGGUGCUGGGACCCAGGCAUCUCGCUCUGCCCGGCCCGGGGAAGGGUCGUGGCUGGCGAAGAGUCUGUGGCCAGGAGCCCGGGAGGAAAGAAGGUGUCAGGAAAAUACAGUACACUGCUUUCCCAUCGCUUUCAAUUUGGUUCUGUUUGAAGGCUUGUGAUGUGUCUGGCGGAUGGCGAAAGAGCUCGUCACUGUUUUGCGCCUGGUUUUGAAUUAUGUCCUUUGGUUUAAAAAGGGAUAUGUUGUCCCUUUAAGAUAAAGUCGAAAUUUUACCUUGGUGCUAGAGAGUUAACCAAAUAGAAAAAUAGGAAGCCUACAUUCCAAAGUGUUAUUUGAAGGACUUUAGACCCAGUUACAAAGUUAAAAAAAAAAAAUCUUUACACAUCCUUAGUUUGAGGCAAACAAGUAUGCCAGAAUAAAGUCUGGGAGCUUGUUCAGUUCCACAAAUAUUUUUAUGCUCUACUGUGUUCCUAACGCUGGAAUUUGUCCGGUGGUCCCAAUUAUGAAUAAGUUGGAUCCAAUUCUACCGUCAUAGGAAUUUUCAUUCUAGUAAGUCAGCGAAGCAAGCAGUUAUUACACAUUUACAAUUUUUCGUGCGUUCAUCAGAAUAAGAGCAAGCCUUGUGAAAGAACAGGGCACAGAACAGUAUUGGGAUGAAGUCAAAAUGGCAAAAACAAGAAAUGGGAGGCUAGGAAAAUGGGUUGUCUGGGGGUUCACUGGACACUUAGAAGACAGAGGAUAACUGGAAGGAAUCCAAAAAAAAAAGAAAGGAUUUGAAAACAAAUAGACAUCUACCAGAUGAUCAAUGAGGGAUCUCUCAAACCUAUUAUUUCUGAGCAUAAGGGACAGAACCAUUCUGAGCCACCCAGAAGCUGCCUCUCAUGCCUCAUCCCAUCAAGCACAUCCUGCCUUUCUUCAUGGACCCGACAUCAGAAUGUACCUGAGUAGUCACGACAGCUUCUGAAAUCUGUCACCAAAGGAGCGUAAUGGACUCAGAAACUCCUGCCAGAACUCUGCUCUCCACUGCUCUGCUCUGUGUAAAUCCUGCUUGCUAUAUUCCCAGGGAAACUCCAAUGGAAUUAAACUUCGUAGAUGUAAAAAGAUGUAUAUAAAGAAGCAAGCUUGGCCGGGGAUUUAGCUCAGCGGUUUCGCCGCCUGCUGCGCAAGCGCAAGGACCCGAGUUCCGUCCCCGGUACAAAAAAAACAACAACAAAAAACAAAACAAAGAAGUGCAAACUUCUACUCGGGGCUCUUGAGACUGACAGGAGUCACCAGCUGACCCGCCCACGUUAAAAGCCGCUUUUUGCUCCUAUCUUCGUGUUAAGAGUGGCCUGUUUGGAGUCCUCACAGUUUCCUGCUUCACUCCUGCCUGGCCAAGAGGUGGCACUUUCCCUGCCACGUCCUACAGGUCCCUUCAGCCUUCCGGCUACUGGACUCUGCUCUCCCUCUACCUGCCUGUGUAAGGACACAAGACACAUGCACUGGGAAGCCUGGGGCAGAGGGGACCUCUGUCAAUGAUGCCAUGAGAGAUGGCAUUGCAUAGGCCAAUGACGGUGAC
rnacentral:lncRNA from 1 species